AUUGCUGUAGGGAGUAAGCUUCACAGUCAGCUCACUCAACAGGAUUUCCAUGUGUAUUCCAGUCCAAGAUACAGAUAGAUAACCAAAUAUCCUUCUGCAUCCAUGGCAACACCCAAACAGGCUGUAUUUGAAGAAACGCACUGGGAACAGACUGGAGGGGAUAGGCAGAGAGGAAAUGAGCUGGAGAUACAUAACACAGACUGGAGAGAGUGAAGGGAAGGAAGAUUGAGAAAUGCCAGGAACCAGCACAAGAACAGUUGUGGUGCAAAAGGAACAGCCUGGCUACAUGCAGUUCCCACCUGCUGGUCACUUUAACAGGAAGGGGCAGCAAAGUGGCCCAGGCACUGCCUCACAGUCAUCUGCUGCACUGGAGAAACACCACUCAUCCCACCAGCCAGACACCAAGGAGAGAAAGAGAACCAUCUCUGAGCAGCACCUGGCUCAGCAUACAUUCUGCAGGGCAGCAAGCCUGCAAGGAAACCUCCCUCUCCUCCUACCUGGAUCAUUUUCCCACGAGAAAAGAAAGGACAAGGUAUGAGCUACUGCUUCCCUCCUCAGCCUUGCGUGGCACAACAAGGAAUUGAGGAUGUAACGCUUCAAGAAUGGGACAUGAAACAGAGGAGCACUGGCUGCUGCAGGCAGCUUUUGGGACAGCCAGCAGUCUGUGUUGCAGGCUCUGUCAUCACGGGCAGCUUCCUGAACAAGCGUCUAUACUUUGAGGUAGGUUUAUCAUGCUUUCUGAGGAACAAAGCAGCUCAGGCAGGGGUGGUAGAGGAGACAGACCACGACAAGCACAAGAAAACUUGGCCCAAGGAACUCAAGAAAGCAAUACGACUCUGAUAUUUGGUUAUCCUUCUGUAUCCUUGACCGGAAUGCACCUGGAAAUCCUGUUGAGUGAGAAGAAGGAAUGAGGCCAGAACUGUUCAAUUAUAGGUGCUAGAUUUACCUUGCUGUAGCUCACACUUCAAAACUGAUCUGGAAAUGCUUCAAAGCCCUUAGGUGACAGGGUGAGAGUAUGCCCUGUGCCACGCUGAGGCAGGAUAUAGGGGAGCAGAAUAACACAUUCUGUGUAGCCUGACUUGCUCCUGCCCCAGUAAAUCUGCUCCUGUGGAGCACUGCGAUGAGGGGUCAUAAAAAGCAGAACCUGUCCCUUUUCUAAAUACCCACUGAUCUCAGCAUCAGUCUUUUUGUCAGAGAACUGCCCUGCAAAGCUACAAACACACCAGAGAAACUUCAUUAGUAGAAAUGCACAGAAGGCAGAUGAAAUAACUCACACCUGCACAAACAGUCACGGAUAACCCAACGCACAUCAUUACCACCUGCCAGCUUUGCAACUGUUGGCCAACUCAAGAGCUUCCCAUUUUCUUUAAUGUUCACAGUCCCCACCAGGGCUGCAGAGCAGAGCUCUGGGUCACUGCCAGAAGAACUGACUGCUACUCCUUGUUGUGCUGCAGUGUAUAAAGCCUUCAAGGGAUGAGCACCUCACUGCACCUUUUUUCUGACUGCUUGUGUUACAUUGCAGUUCUGGAGCAGAAGGCCUUAUGCUGUUUCUCCCCAUUGAGUGCAGUCAGACACUAGAGAUGGCUCACAGUUGGACAGCACACAGGGCACUAUCUUGUUUGUACACACAGAAAGAAAACAAGUGUAAGAAGGACGAGGAUGAUCCACCAGUAAUGUGCCAAACAGGAUCUAAUCUCUUUGAAACUUCCCUGUCUCUAUGAAAUGAGAGCGUGUUCCUCUUCAGCUGCUGAACCCAAGACGGUUUCCAGCAUCAGGAGUAUAAGAGAAAUUCCUGUUCAACACUUUGAACCUCAAGUAUGAAACACAUAUAUAAUCUGUUGUCUGAGACUCCCAGCCUGCUUCACUGAUAGCGUUGUUUUGCUUCAGGGUAAGAAAGCAUUAGCCAGAGAACUUGAGAGGCUUUCUCAAGGUUGCCUAAAGGAACAACAGAACUGGAAACACAGCUGGAUUCGGAGCUUUAAAGGCUGCAGUGCAAAUACAUCAUCGAGAGGGUAGAGCUCCCAACAAAGGCCCACUGCGCUGUAUGUACACAGCAAAGGUCAACGAAGAGAAGAGAGCACCCAGCUGGCCUGGGCAGGGAGGCAGGGGCACUGAGAUAAAGCAGAUCUGCCUGAGGUAACCUAGCACAUCACCAGAUAAGGAAUCCAAGACAAGUCAAGGCCCUGACAUCCCAAUCCAAGUCCUAUAGUCUCUCAAUUUUUACAGCACUUCACCACCACUGCUUAAAACUUGGCUAACAGAAUGUAUGGGAACUGUUGAAUCCUGACCUGAACCACUAAUUGAGCACCUGGGAAAAGGACUCAGUCAGCCCUGGGAGCACAGGUAAAGGCAAUUCAGCUGUGAGACAGGAAGGGGUGGAGCCUUGCUGCACCUCUCUUAGACCCCCCAUUUAAGGGCUGACUGCCACUAGGAAAGGUUCUUCUUCUGGAGAUUCCUCCUUGGUGAAGUUUUCCUCUGCAAACAGAGAAUCUUCUAAUUCAGCUUUUAGCCCUGAGUCACGACAUCAUCCCUCCUCGUGCCACCACCACAGCAGGACGUACUACAGCCCCCGAGGCCGACACCCCAAUGCUCAGCAUCACGCGGGGCCGCUGAGGCUGGAGAAGCCGAUAGGAUCACGAAGCCGACCCCGGCAGCACACGCUGACCCCGUGCUCAGCCUGCAGGCACCGAUCCCCGCGACGCGCGCUUCAGUGAGGUGAGCCCGCCGCCACCCGGGCCCGCUCCCCCUCGGGGCCCGGCAGCAGAGCCGCCUCAGAGGAAGGCCGGGGCAGCCCGAGCGGCGGGCGAACGCCGCCAGCGAACAAAGCGCGGAUCGAUGGGCUGCGGGAGAAAGCCGAGCCGUGAUUGCCGGAACCAAGGGCGGGCGGCCCUUACCUGGCUGGCGAAGUCCCUCAGGU